UUUCCUCAGGGAGGUGCCGUGUGCCCCUUGCUCCUGUGUACCACAGCUGUUCCUCCACCAGCCGGGACACUGGGCCUGCAGAGGGAUGGCCUUUGAGAAGGGCCAUUUCACCUGGAGCUGUUCUCUCAGCAGAGCAAGGUGAUGGGGAUCUUCUUGCAUUGGUCUUCUGUUUCUGGAGCGCAUCCUGACAGCCUUUGUCAUCCAGAGCUUUCCUGUCUGUUCCCAAGAGGAGUGAUAGCCACAACAUGGAACGACUCCUUGGCGUACAUGCCAAUGCAUCCCACCACGCAGAAGUCAGCAGUCUGCGGUGAGUCACGAAUCCGCUUGUAUGCAAAAAUGAGCAACAGGCAUAGUCAUUAUUUCUGCC